rnacentral:pre_miRNA from 1 species
ACAAGAAUCACCUGGAGAUCCUGUUAAAAUGCAGAUUCUGAUUCAGCAGGUUUGUGGUAGGGCCUGAGAGUCUGCAUUCCUUACAAGCUCUUAGCUGAUGCCAGU